rnacentral:rRNA from 1 species
AACGAACGCUGGCGGCAGGCUUAACACAUGCAAGUCGAACGGUUGCAGCAAUGCAGCAGUGGCAGACGGGUGAGUAACACGUGGGAACCUUCCUAGGGGUACGGAACAACUCAGGGAAACUUGAGCUAAUACCGUAUACGUCCGUGAGGAGAAAGAUUUAUCGCCCUUAGACGGGCCCGCGUCGGAUUAGCUAGUUGGUGGGGUAACGGCCUACCAAGGCGACGAUCCGUAGCUGAUCUUAGAGGAUGAUCAGCCACACUGGGACUGAGACACGGCCCAGACUCCUACGGGAGGCAGCAGUGGGGAAUCUUGGACAAUGGGCGCAAGCCUGAUCCAGCCAUGCCGCGUGAGUGAAGAAGGUCUUCGGAUUGUAAAGCUCUUUUACCAGGGACGAUAAUGACGGUACCUGGAGAAUAAGCCCCGGCAAACUUCGUGCCAGCCGCCGCCGUAACAC